UCCAGUGAUGACGUGACAUGAUAGAACGCCUUUGUGAGGAGAUAAAGCGAGGUGGGUGACGCGGGCCCCAUGACGCGGCCCUGUGAGGCGCAGGCCAUGUGACGCAGGGCGAGGCUACAACUGACCUCGUGACGAUUCCUCAGAGGGGGAUGGUCUGCUGACCACUGGCGACCGAAACUGCCCAAAGCGAAACCGCAGAUGAUGGGGACUGCUGUCUGGGUUAAUUGGAAGUAGAAGAUGGGGUUGGUUUUCUUCAUCAGUCCCCCAUGAAAGUCUCUGUGCCAGGUGCAGGGAAGUUGUUCUUGGAACACCGAAUACAAAAUGGAGUGGAAGAGCAUGAGUGUGCAUGGGGAGGGGCAGAGGAGGAGAGAGAAUCUUAAGUAGGCUCCACUGCCAGCAUCCGGAGCCACCAGGAGGCUUGAGGUCAUGACCGGAGUUGAAAUUACGAGUGGGAGGCUUAACCGACUGAGCCACCAAGCUGCCCUUCCAAGGUGCCUUUUGAAUAAGAUGCAAGUCAACUUGUUUCCUGUGAAAAACCGGGACCCCCCCAACAUGACUUCUUCAGAAACAAGAAUUUUGCUGUCUAGGGAAAUUUUAUUGUAUAAUGUAGAAAUAAAUCAUCAUCAGAUUUGUUAUCUAAUAAUGC